GUCAUGUCAAUCAAUGCCAAAGAGAAAGAGGAGACUGACUGACUGAUCAAUGAAUAUGCAUAGAUCCAAACAGUAAAGGAGCUCCUGUUGGGCUCAGAGGUACUGUUCUUCUCAUCUCUUACAAGAGUUGUUCCUGCAUGCUGAAAGUCCUGCUGAGGAAGGAUGGGACAGUUACCAUUGGGUGUGUUUAAAAUGCUGCAGUCCUAAACACUUUGAUGCUUUUCAAAGGGAAUAGACAAACUUAGUAAAUUGUUAAAAGAAUGUUAAAAACAGACAAAGAAAAGGUAUCAAAGAGAAAUUAAAAGAAAUACAUAAAUAUAUAUAAAGACUGGCAUUUGUCAAAUACUAUUUCAUACAUCAAAUAUUAAUCGUAACAAAGGAUGUAGCUUGUUUAAAAUCUGCAUAUUAAUACACAGAGAAUAUUAUACUAUAAAGUGAGUAAUCAUUUGGAUAUAUGAUACUUGUGCGUGACAAUCCAUCACUAUCCUUAUUUGCUUUACAAAUUGCUACGUGGAACUGAUUAAUGGUGUUUUGUUCAUUAACAAGAGAGUCCUAGUUAUUUCUAACAUUCUCGAGGUUUCAGAUUUACUUAUGAAUAGAUCCUUGUAUUUUCAGAAUGCAAUAAGAUUGCUGUUUGAUGUUUUGCUCACUGGCAGUAACUGUCACCCUCCGUGGGCUAUGGAUGGAGAGGUGUCUGCAGCUAAGUGAAGUGAAAGCACAUGCUAUUGAUUGCCCACAGUUGGACCAUGGCACUGAGGCUGCAGCCUGAUGAUCUUAAACCUUGCUGGUGUUUUGUCUCAGUUACAUGAGAAGUGUAUGCUGGUGGCACAGUACCAAGGUAUCUCUGAAACUUCCAAAGCUGGCUGGAGCUGAAUGUUUUUACAAGAAGACAACCAAGCCUGCUUUUUAUUUUCCCAACCCAUCCUUACUGUGUACCUCAUCUCACCUUCCAGCAAACUGCAAGUGAUUAUCACCUUCAAUUGAACCGAAGGAGACAGCAAGGCAGACUCAAAUACAUUGUAGGUACAGGGAAAAGGAAGCAGUGACUAUGCGCUACUGGAUUUAACACAUUUUAUUAUUGUGUGCUGUAAUAAUUUAUUAUUUUUUUUUUCCCUUCUCUGAAAUUGUGUUUUUGCUGUUGUUUUCCUGCUGAAGAGGACUGUUUGCUUGUUUGUAUAGGAGAAGCCUAUACAAACAAGAAGUUGGCCUAUUUUUAACUACCUUGUUUAUUACAGUGCUACAUUUUGAAUCUCUUUGACCACAAAGCAAGAUGUUCUACUUAAAGCUUUUUUGAUGUUAUUGCACUGAGAGAAUUCACUUCAGUAGCCCUAAAAGCCAUUCCAGGAAUAAGACUUGAUCCUACACUCAAUUACCUGUCCACAUUUCAUCAAACAUCUAAAAAGAGGUUAAACAAAAUGGAAGGACAACCAGGCCUAGACAGUAAAUGUUCUCUGGGAAUUGACUUUCUUCUUUCCCCUUAAUGUAGCAAAAAUGCCAGCAAGCAUUCUGGCAGUAUUAAAACCAACCUCACUUUCAUGACUGCCAUACUGUUUUACAAACUCAAUUAUCAAUCAUUUUAAUUUCACUAUAAUUUAUAUUUUUAAAAAAAUGCAGAGGAGGACUCAUACCUUAUAAGAUGAUGCAAGACCAGAGUGGUC
ensembl:lncRNA